CCAGCUCCAAUAGCGUAUAUUUAAGUUGUUGCAGUUAAAAAGCUCGUAGUUGGAUUUCGGGUGGCUGUUUGCGGUCCGCCUUUCGGUGUGUACUGCAGGCGGCUACCUUUCUGUCGGGGACGGGCUCCUGGGCUUCACUGUCCGGGACUCGGAGUCGGCGAGGUUACUUUGAGUAAAUUAGAGUGUUCAAAGCAAGCCUGAGCUCUGAAUACAUUAGCAUGGAAUAACAUGAUAGGACUCUGGCCUAUCUUGUUGGUCUGUAGGACCGGAGUAAUGAUUAAGAGGGACAGUCGGGGGCAUUCGUAUUUCAUUGUCAGAGGUGAAAUUCUUGGAUUUAUGAAAGACGAACUUCUGCGAAAGCAUUUGCCAAGGAUGUUUUCA
rnacentral:rRNA from 1 species